UAGCUAGUUGGUGAGGUAAAGGCUUACCAAGGCGACGAUCUGUAGCGGGUCUGAGAGGAUGAUCCGCCACACUGGAACUGAGACACGGUCCAGACUCCUACGGGAGGCAGCAGUGGGGAAUUUUGGACAAUGGGGGCAACCCUGAUCCAGCCAUGCCGCGUGAGUGAUAAGGCCUUCGGGUUGUAAAGCUCUUUCGGCCGGGAAGAAAUCGCAUGGGCCAAUACCCUGUGUGGAUGACGGUACCGGAAUAAGAAGCACCGGCUAACUACGUGCCAGCAGCCGCGGUAAUACGUAGGGUGCGAGCGUUAAUCGGAAUUACUGGGCGUAAAGCGUGCGCAGGCGGUUUUGUAAGACAGGCGUGAAAUCCCCGGGCUUAACCUGGGAACUGCGUUUGUGACUGCAAGGCUAGAGUACGGCAGAGGGGGGUGGAAUUCCACGUGUAGCAGUGAAAUGCGUAGAGAUGUGGAGGAACACCAAUGGCGAAGGCAGCCCCCUGGGUCGAUACUGACGCUCAUGCACGAAAGCGUGGGUAGCAAACAGGAUUAGAUACCCUGGUAGUCCACGCCCUAAACUAUGUCAACUAGGUGUUGGGUGGGUAAAACCAUUUAGUACCGUAGCUAACGCGUGAAGUUGACCGCCUGGGGAGUACGGCCGCAAGGUUAAAACUCAAAGGAAUUGACGGGGACCCGCACAAGCGGUGGAUGAUGUGGAUUAAUUCGAUGCAACGCGAAAAACCUUACCUACCCUUGACAUGCCAGGAACUUGCCAGAGAUGGCUUGGUGCCCGAAAGGGAGCCUGGACACAGGUGCUGCAUGGCUGUCGUCAGCUCGUGUCGUGAGAUGUUGGGUUAAGUCCCGCAACGAGCGCAACCCUUGUCGUUAAUUGCCAUCAUUUAGUUGGGCACUUUAACGAGACUGCCGGUGACAAACCGGAGGAAGGUGGGGAUGACGUCAAGUCCUCAUGGCCCUUAUGGGUAGGGCUUCACACGUCAUACAAUGGUCGGUACAAAGGGUUGCCAAGCCGCGAGGCGGAGCCAAUCCCAGAAAGCCGAUCGUAGUCCGGAUUGCAGGCUGCAACUCGCCUGCAUGAAGUCGGAAUCGCUAGUAAUCGUGGAUCAGCAUGUCACGGUGAAUACGUUCCCGGGUCUUGUACACACCGCCCGUCACACCAUGGGAGCGGGUUCCGCCAGAAGUAGGUAGCCUAACCGCAAGGGGGGCGCUUACCACGGCGGGGUUCGUGACUGGGGUGAAGUCGUAACAAGGUAGCCGUAGGGGAACCUGCGGCUG
rnacentral:rRNA from 1 species